rnacentral:rRNA from 1 species
CCAAUAGCGUAUAUUAAAGUUGUUGCAGUUAAAAAGUUCGUAGUUGAAUUUCGGAAUUUUUUUAUCGGUUGAAUCAACAGAUUCGUACUGGUUUUAAGAAUUUCUACCUUCUGGAGAACCUUAAUGUCAUUAAUUUGAUGUUUUGGGAAACCAGGACUGUUACCUUGAAAAAAUUAGAGUGUUUAAAGCAGGCUUAUGUCUGAAUAUAUUAGCAUGGAAUAAUGAAAUAGGACGGCAUGGUUCUAUUUUGUUGGUUUCUAGGAUCACCGUAAUGAUUAAUAGGGAUAGUUGGGGGCAUUAGUAUUCAAUUGUCAGAGGUGAAAUUCUUGGAUUUAUUGAAGACUAACUUCUGCGAAAGCAUUUGCCAAGGAUGUUUUCAUUAAUCAAGAACGAAAGUUAGGGGAUCGAAGACGAUCAGAUACCGUCGUAGUCUUAACCAUAAACUAUGCCGACUAGGAAUCGGACGAAGUUAAUUUUUUAAUGACUCGUUCGGCGCCUUACG